rnacentral:rRNA from 1 species
CCUACGGGAGGCAGCAGUGGGGAAUAUUGCACAAUGGGGGAAACCCUGAUGCAGCGACGCCGCGUGAGUGAAGAAGUAAUUCGUUAUGUAAAGCUCUAUCAGCAGGGAAGAAAAUGACGGUACCUGAGUAAGAAGCCCCGGCUAACUACGUGCCAGCAGCCGCGGUAAUACGUAGGGGGCAAGCGUUAUCCGGAUUUACUGGGUGUAAAGGGAGCGUAGGCGGCAGUGCAAGUCUGGAGGGAAAGGCGGGGGCUCAACCCCCGGACUGCUGUGGAAACUGUACGGCUGGAGUGCACGAGAGGUAAGUGGAAGUCCUGGUGUAGCGGUGAAAUGCGUAGAUAUGAGGAGGAACACCAGUGGCGAAGGCGGCUUACCGGACUGUAACUGACGUUGAGGCUCGAAAGCGUGGGGAUCAAACAGGAUUAGAUACCCGUGUAGUC